UUGAAAAAUAGGGCUUUCCCAUUCUUUGGGGCCCGAACCUUCACAUAAUUUCCACACACUUGUGAAUCGUUGGAGCGUUUUUUGAAAAAGAGACGCUCUGGCACCCUUUAAUUAUUACAAACACCGAGUUAAUGGAUGUAGUUGUAAACUUGUCUUUUGACAGAAACAAAAAUA
rnacentral:misc_RNA from 1 species